UUUCUAGAUUUUCUUUUCUGCAAAUGCUUUGUGUUGUCUCACACUUGUAUCAAUUAUUUUCAAAUACGAUCUCAUCACAUUUCUCGUUUGUUUUUAUAUAUUUCUAAACUAUAAUUUUACUCUUUUUAAAAUUUGUGUUUAGUUUACUUUCUCAAACAAAUUUAAAUUCUCUAAAAAAAAAAAAACAUCAAAAAUUAGGUUGUGUGUGCUGGUGACUCUGAAUCCACUUUUGAUUUCGUCACUAUGCCAACGUUUUCAAAUCAAAACUGAAACUAGUUGAAGCUUAUGUCUAUCAUUACCUUGGCUCAAAAAAACUCAGAUGAACUAGUUAAAGACAAACAAUGAUUUGAUAAUGCACUUUUAUUUCUGAGGUAAAAUCACAGCUUUUUAAUUUCUUAAGUGACCUUGCCAACAUGCUAUUACUAAUGAACUUUAGCGUUGUAGAGGUCAACUUGCAAGUUUUAAUUGCAAUAAAACUUAUUGAAAACGAGUUCUUUUGAAUGCGAAGACAACAUGUAGGGCUUUUCAGCGACGUUGAGAUAGGUAGGUCAAAUUGCCUUGGUUAAGGCAAUUCAUUUUCAGGUCAAAAUGUUUAUCGAAUGAAUUUGGCCAGCAAUAGCAUUAUACUUCACUAGUGUUUUUUGAAGCAUAACAUUAAUGUUAGUCGAAUUCGUAUUAAGAACAUUGUGGUUGGAAAACGAAUUGUCAUUACCAAAUAGUUUUACUAAACCUAUCUCAAUGUGGUGGAAAAACUAUACGUGACUAAAUCAAUGAUCAAGAUCUUUCAAAGAUCAAAUAAUAAAGAGUCAUGCUCAUAGACUUGUAUCAAAAUACAUAAAUCAUCCCAUCAAAUCAUAAAAAAAUGCAAAAAAGAAGCUAUCGAAAAUGGAGGUGAGAAUAUUAUUAUCCUAACCCAAAAAGGAAGAGAAAGCCUGGCACAAACAUCUUCUUUUUUUGCCAUUUUGCUUUCUCUUUACUUUGUCACUUUUUCACGGAAGUGCAUUGCACCCCUUAAAAUGUGAUUCGACGAUUUAGGGUUUUCAGUAUUACUUUUACUCUUUGAGUCAGUUAAAUAUUGAAUAUGUAGGAAUCUGUCGUCUAUAUUUGCCCAAUGAUGAUCCAUCGGCUACAUGGUUUUGUUCAUAACCCUAACUUGCACUAUUCUCUCAUUCUGAUUUAGUUUAGCUAUCAAACCUGAGGGUUUUGUGUUUUCUUUUUUCCUGUUAAUUGAGCUAAGUGAUAGUUAUUGCAAAAGGGGUUUCUGCUAUGUUUAAGAAAUUCAUACUAUAUAACAAUAAUAUGCUGUUGCAGAAACUCAAAAUAGUACAUUAGCCUAAUGAUGAUAGCUUUUAAGUAUAAUAAGUUGCAUUGUGUUAAUGCGUCUCACGAGGAUUCCAACUGGUUAUCUGCAAAAUCUUCUUAUAGCAGUGCCUUUGCCGAAUUUCCUCACGGUCUUAGGUUAGGUUUUGGACCUCUUUAUCCACUAUUCGAAACAGAGAAUUCUAGAAAAGGACUGAAACGAACUCUAAGUGUGCUAUUUGCUAUUAACAUUAGUGGUCUGAUACUCUGAUAUUGCAUUUUUAUUUCUGAGCUAGAAUCACAAUUUUUUAUUUCUUAUUCUCAAUCUACAGUUCUGUUCAUGCUAACAGAUUUUACUUGGCAGGUUAAAUUAGGUAUCAUUUUAAUUAUGGUUGUAAUUUGGCAAUUAUAUUUAAGUAAUUACUUGUAUUUUCAAUGAAUUAUUUUUAGGAGCAUAAAUUUUUUUUAAUGGCAAAUAAAUAUAUUAUAUAUAAGAAAAUGAGAAUGGAUAUACAUGGUCUGAGAGGAACAUUCCCAAAAAGCUCCACUAGGAAACUAAAAACAACAACGCAAUACUAAUAGAAAAGCUAAAACAACAACGCAAAACUAAAACAGUAAGCUUAUAUAUCCUUUAUCUUGAAAAUUUGAGUACUUGCUUCAGUUGUUUAUUGCUACUUUUUACUUAUCAUUUCUUGUGAAUUUCUUUUUCAAUUGAUGACUUCCUAUUAUGCUUACUCAUUUCCCUCGGGAUAAACUCCCUAUUGUGUUUUCUGGAUAUGCCCAAUGAUGAAUGCUUGUUUAGAUAUGGUACUAUGAAUAAUCAAAGCAUUUCCGUCCUUUCUGCCUCUCGUUGCACUGCCAUCACUAUGGUCUUCUCUUUCUUCUUCUUCUUCUUCUUCUUCUUCUUCUACAUUGCCGUUGCCAUCAUCACCAUUAUCAUCUUCAUCAUCAACAUUAUUAUUAUUUAUUAUUAUUAUUUAUUCAGUGACAGUGGGUCGAGAUGGUGGAGGUUGUGCCGUGUGUGCACUGCCUUGAUGGACGUUGAGAGGCUUUUAUGGAUGUUGAAGAAGUACAAAUCUAACGAUAUCUGAGGGCUGAAUUGCUAUCUUGUGUUUAAAUAAUCGUGUCAGUCAUCUCUUUUGUUAUCUUCAGGACUCUAGCUGCCUGUUUAUGCCCUAGUUGACAAGAAGUGGUCAAGGUCAAGGAUAAGCUUCUAACAAAGGGAUGGUAAAAUUGGAUCAUGCUGUCUUGUUGGGAAACUAUAGGAAGAGGUCAGGUGUUGUUGGUUUUCUGUUGGAGACAAUCAUGGGUCCCACCCUUAAGAUCUCUGUAUCUGAAAUGUAUGGCAGAAUAGUCAAACAGAGUCUUGCUAAAAAUAAAUAAUAAUAUUAAUAAUAUUUUAUCAAAUUUAUUUUA